rnacentral:lncRNA from 1 species
UCCUCUCCCUGUCUUUAGCCGAGCAAAAUCUUUCUUAUUCGAUCACAAGAAAAAUCUCAUUUAGAUCUUCCUCCUACUACCUCGGGACUUGAGUCUUGAUCAACAUUUUUGUCUGUGUGUCGUUAUCCCUUUUAUCCAAUUUCUUUAAUGCCAUCCCCACUGCACAACAUCUUCUCCUUCUUAGUUGCCCUUUACGUACCUGUGGAGGUAUGAAUGCUUCGUGUUCAUGUCCUGCACAAAUAAUAAAUGAGAAAUAUGAAAGAAGUAGAUGUAUUAAGAUGAAGUACUAACGAUUAGACCAAAUGGCGGUAUCAUUGUUUGAUUGAAUUGGCAGGUCACCUGGGUGGAGCACGCGGAGUACGACGAAGGCCAAGUGCAUCAUCUGUAUCGCCCGCUGCUCCGCUCCGGCCAGGCGUUCGGCGCCGGACGCUGGGUUGCCACCCUACAGCGCCAGUGCGAGUGCCUUGCCACCCUCGUGUCCUCCACCGCCGUGGCCCGCGACGAGACUGGUAAGGAGCCAGCCACUUGAUCUCUGAAGCAUCGUGAACAGCG